UGAGGAAUAUUGGGUCAAUGGUCGGGAGACUGAACCAGCCAAGCCGCGUGAGGGAUGAAGGUGCUAAGCAUUGUAAACCUCUUUUGUCAGGGAACAAAGGCAUCCACGAGUGGGUGUGUGAGUGUACCUGAAGAAAAAGCAUCGGCUAACUCCGUGCCAGCAGCCGCGGUAAUACGGAGGAUGCGAGCGUUAUCCGGAUUUAUUGGGUUUAAAGGGUGCGUAGGGCGGCCUGUUAAGUCAGCGGUAAAAGCCCGGGGCUCAACCCCGGCGAGCCGUUGAAACUGGCUGGCUGGAGUUGGCGAGAGGUAUGCGGAAUGCGCGGUGUAGCGGUGAAAAUGCUUAGAUAUCGCGCAGAACUCCGAUUGCGAAGGCAGCAUGCCGGCGCCACACUGACGCUGAGGCGCGAAAGCGUGGGGAGCAAACAGGGAUUAGAUACC
rnacentral:rRNA from 1 species